ACACGACUACAUUAGAUACCCGGGGGUAGUCCAGGGUGUAAACGCUGCGGGCUUGGUGUUGGGGGUCCUUUGAGGGCGCCCAGUGCCGGAGAGAAGUUGUUAAGCCUGCUGCUUGGGGAGUACGUCCGCAAGGAUGAAACUUAAAGGAAUUGGCGGGGGAGCACCGCAACGGGAGGAGCGUACGGUUCAAUUGGAUUCAACGCCGGACAACUCACCAGGAGCGACGGUUACAUGAAGGCCAGGCUGAUGACCUUGCCUGAUUUUCCG
rnacentral:rRNA from 1 species